rnacentral:tRNA from 1 species
GAUGUUUUAGCCUAUAUUAAGGCGUAACUUUGAAAAAGUUAAGAAUCCUCCAUCAUGAUAACGUUA